GCGGCGAACGAACACAUUGUCCCCCCCGGUUGGUCGCGGCGCCUCGCGGCGUCGCGGCCGGCCAACUCCCUCCGUCUCGCGUCGCGAGCUCGCUCGCGCGCGCGGCGUCGGGUUUCCACGCGAUGCCUUCACCUUGACCGAAUGACUGAGUCCCUUAACACUUGAAGAGGAGCGCCGAGUGCCGUCCCCCUUAGGGUGGUCGGCGCUGGUUCCCUCGCGAGUUGAAACGUAACCAAAAACAACUCUCAGCAACGGAUAUCUUGGCUCUUGCAACGAUGAAGAACGCAGCGAAAUGCGAUACGUAGUGUGAAUUGCAGAAUUCCGCGAAUCAUCGAGUCUUUGAACGCAAGUUGCGCCCGAGGCUUGUCCAAGGGCAUUUCCGCUAGAGCGUCACCGCGCCCCCCACCGAUCCACUCCCGCCGGGAGUCGGGUCGAGUGGAAGUGGCCAUCCCCGGUGGGCCUUCUUACUUUGUGAAAAGAGGAAGGCCUUCGGGGUUGGCUGAAAUGGAAGGAAUCGGGCCGCCGUGGUGACACAGUCCGCGAUCGGGUGAUUUU
rnacentral:rRNA from 1 species